rnacentral:rRNA from 1 species
GAAAGUAAGCAAGGGCAGACGGUGGAUGCCUUGGCUCUCGGAGGCGACGAAGGACGUGAUAAGCUGCGAAAAGCCCGGGGGAGGCGCAAAUAGCCGUUGAUCCCGGGAUAUCCGAAUGGGGCAACCCGGCAGGCUGAAGGCCUGCCAUCCCGUAAGGGAGGCGAACGUGGGGAACUGAAACAUCUAAGUACCCAUAGGAGGAGAAAAUAAACAAUGAUUCCGUAAGUAGUGGCGAGCGAACACGGAAGAGCCCAAACCCAUGUCGUCUAGGCGACACGGGGGUUGUAGGACCACGACGUGGCAAGAGGAUGGCAAGUGGAACGCCUUGGAAAGGGCGACCGUAGAGGGUGAUAGUCCCGUACACGACUGCCUGCCGAAGCCUAGUGGCAUCCUGAGUAGCGCGGGGCACGAGAAAUCUUGCGUGAAACUGCGGGGCCCAUCCCGUAAGGCUAAAUACUCCCGAGAGACCGAUAGCGAACCAGUACCGUGAGGGAAAGGUGAAAAGAACCCCGAGCAGGGGAGUGAAAUAGACCCUGAACCCGUCUGCCUACAAGCGGUCGGAGCGUUGUUAUGACGUGACGGCGUGCCUUUUGCAUAAUGAACCUACGAGUUACCUUCCCCGGCAAGGUUAAGUACCUAAGGUACGGAGCCGAAGCGAAAGCGAGUCUGAACAGGGCGGCCAGUCGGGGGGGGUAGACGCGAAACCGAGUGAUCUACCCUUGGCCAGGUUGAAGGUUGGGUAACACCAACUGGAGGACCGGAUGGGUAAGCGUUGAAAAGCUUUCCAAUGAGCUGAGGGUAGGGGUGAAAGGCUAAUCAAACUCGGAGAUAGCUCGUACUCCCCGAAAUGCAUUUAGGUGCAGCCUCUUUAUAGUAUAUCGUGAGGUAGAGCGACUGAUUGGAUGCGAGGGCUUCACCGCCUAUCAAGUCCAGAUAAACUCCGAAUGCGCGAUAUAUAUUUAAAGGGAGUGAGGGCGCGGGUGCUAAGGUCCGUGUCCGAGAGGAGAAGAAUCCAGACCACCGGCUAAGGCCCCCAAAUGAUCGUUGAGUUGAACUAACGAGGUCGGAUCGCAGAGACAGCUAGGAUGUUGGCUUGGAAGCAGCCAUUCAUUUAAAGAGUGCGUAACAGCUCACUAGUCGAGCGAUCUGGCGUGGAUAAUAAUCGGGCAUAAACGAUCUGCCGAAGCCGUGGAUGUCGUAAGACAUGGUAGGGGAGCAUUCCAUGCCGCGUCGAAGAUGAGGGAUGACCCUUGUUGGAGCGCAUGGAAAAGCAAAUGUAGGUAUGAGUAACGAUAAGGGGGGCGAGAAACCCCCCCGCCGAAAGACCAAGGUUUCCUGAUCAACGCUAAUCGGAUCAGGGUGAGUCGGGACCUAAGGCAAAGCCGAACGGCGCCGCCGAUGGAAGAAUGGGUUAAUAUUCCCAUACUGCCUCAUGGAGUGACGUGGAGACGGAGAAGUGACAGUCCUGCCGGCUGACGGAAUAGCCGGUUGAAGGGUGUAGAUAUUGAUUCCCGUAGGCAAAUCCGCGGGGAGAGUCGAACCUGAGAGUAUACGGAGCGCUUGCGCGACGUAAUAUGGACGUAACCAUGCUCCCAAGAAAAUCCGCUAAACUUAUCCAUGCGGCACCCGUACCGUAAACGGACACACGUGGUCGGGUUGAGAAUACUGAGGCGCUCGAGUGACUCACGGUUAAGGAACUAGGCAAAUUGACCCUGUAACUUCGGGAUAAAGGGUCCUCGUCGUAAGGCGAGGCGCAGAGAAUAGGUCCAGGCAACUGUUUAACAAAAACACAUGGCUGUGCUAAAUGGAAACAUGACGUAUACAGCCUGACACCUGCCCGGUGCUGGAAGGUUAAGAGGAGAUGUCAUCGCGAGAGAAGCGUUGAAUUGAAGCCCCAGUAAACGGCGGCCGUAACUAUAACGGUCCUAAGGUAGCGAAAUUCCUUGUCG